rnacentral:rRNA from 1 species
UCGAGAAUUUUUCUCAAUGGGGGAAACCCUGAAGGAGCGACGCCGCGUGGAGGAUGAAGGCUUUCGGGUUGUAAACUCCUGUCAUCUGGGAACAAAACCCGCAAGGGCUUGAUAGUACCAGAAGAGGAAGAGACGGCUAACUCUGUGCCAGCAGCCGCGGUAAUACAGAGGUCUCGAGCGUUGUUCGGAUUCAUUGGGCGUAAAGGGCGCGUAGGCGGCGGGGUAAGUCGGGUGUGAAAUCUCGGAGCUCAACUCCGAAAUUGCACUGGAUACUGCUCUGCUAGAGGGCUGGAGAGGAGAUCGGAAUUCACGGUGUAGCAGUGAAAUGCGUAGAUAUCGUGAGGAAGACCAGUGGCGAAGGCGGAUCUCUGGACAGCUCCUGACGCUGAGGCGCGAAGGCUAGGGGAGCAAAC